rnacentral:tRNA from 1 species
CUGGGGUUGUGGCUCAGUAGUAGAGCACUUACCUAGCAUGUGUGAGGCACUGGGUUCAAAUCUCAGACUGCAUA